CGGACCCUCCGAACCCGGCGGAUCCUCCCGCUCUCUUGACCCACCAGAACAUACCACCUCAAACCCUUCCCGCAAGAGGAAGGUAAUCCUCCUUUCCCUCCUCUCCAUCGUCUUGAUCAUCGCCUCUGCCGUCUCCGCCACGCUUCUAAUCGGCCUACGCACCCGGGCUUCAGGCCAUCCCAGCCCAGUUGUGGCCAGGAAGCCCACCAAGGCCAUUUCUAAAACUUGCAGCAAGACGCGCUUUCCGACUCUCUGUGUUAACUCGUUGCUGGAUUUUCCUGGUUCUGAGACCGCCUCCGAGAAGGACCUCGUCCACAUUUCUUUCAAUAUGACUCUGCAGCACUUUAGCAAAGCUCUGUACCUCUCUUCGGGGAUCUCUUAUCUUCAGAUGGAUACUCAUGUACGGUCGGCCUUUGAGGACUGCCUUGAGCUGCUUGAUGAUUCCGUGGACGCGCUUUCGCGCUCGCUCUCCAUCGUCGCGCCGUCGAUGGACGGGAACACUGCUGGACAGGUACAGGCUGUCGGGUCCACUGAAGACGUGGUUACUUGGCUCAGCGCCGCGCUGACUAAUCAGGACACAUGUACGGAGGGAUUUACAGACUUAAGUGGAGCUGUAAAGGAUCAGAUGUCUGAUAAGUUGAGGGACUUAUCCGAGUUAGUGAGCAAUUGCUUGGCAAUUUUUUCGGCAACUGACAGUGACGAUUUCUUUGGCGUUCCGAUACAGAACCGGCGGAGAUUGAUGGACGCCGAAAUCUCGGAGGAAAAUGCCGAUGAUCUUCCGAGUUGGUUGGGGAGGAAAGAAAGGAGACUAUUGAACAUGCCGGUGUCGGCUAUACAGGCCGAUAUAAUCGUUUCGAAAGACGGGAACGGAACGUACAAGACGAUCACGGAGGCGAUUAAGAAGGCACCGGAGUACAACAGUCGGCGGACAAUAAUUUACGUGAGGGCAGGAAGAUACGAAGAGAAUAACUUGAAAGUGGGAAGGAAGAAGAGGAAUUUGAUGUUCAUAGGAGAUGGAAGGGGUAAAACGGUGAUUUCAGGAAGCAAAAGCGUUUACGAUAAUGUAACGACAUUCCACACUGCCUCAUUCGCUGCCACCGGAGCUGGUUUCAUUGCUCGUGACAUGACAUUUGAGAACUCAGCUGGUCCAUCCAAGCACCAAGCUGUGGCUCUCCGGGUUGGUGCUGACCAUGCUGUGGUCUAUCGUUGCAACGUCUUUGGAUAUCAAGACACUCUCUAUGUGCACUCGAAUCGCCAAUUUUACCGGGAAUGUGGCAUUUAUGGUACGGUUGAUUUCAUAUUUGGUAAUGCGGCUGUAGUGUUUCAAAAUUGCAGCAUUUACGCUCG
rnacentral:misc_RNA from 1 species